GCUGGGACUUGUUCAUUUGUCAACGUCAUUUACAAAAAGGAACAAGAAACAAAAGUGAAGCCUAAUCCUGUUGAACUAUAUGAGGUUACCCAUACAAGAAAAAAGGAUAAACAGUUUGUGAACGACAAAUGCAAAAGUCUAUAUCUUCAAAUGCAAGAAUUAACAACCAGUGAGGCCUUAGAGGAAGGCAAUGUGGAGGGAACAAG